GGGGAAUAUUGCACAAUGGGCGCAAGCCUGAUGCAGCGACGCCGCGUGAGGGAUGACGGCCUUCGGGUUGUAAACCUCUUUUGUUAGGGAGCAAGCGAGAGUGAGUGUACCUUUCGAAUAAGCACCGGCUAACUACGUGCCAGCAGCCGCGGUAAUACGUAGGGUGCAAGCGUUAUCCGGAAUUAUUGGGCGUAAAGAGCUCGUAGGCGGCUUGUCGCGUCCGGUGUGAAAGUCCAUCGCUUAACGGUGGAUCUGCGCCGGGUACGGGCAGGCUAGAAUGCGGUAGGGGAGACUGGAAUUCCCGGUGUAACGGUGGAAUGUGUAGAUAUCGGGAAGAACACCAAUGGCGAAGGCAGGUCUCUGGGCCGUUAUUGACGCUGAGGAGCGAAAGCGUGGGGAGCGAACAGGAUUAGAUACCCUGGUAGUCCACGCCGUAAACGGUGGACGCUGGAUGUGGGGCCCGUUCCACGGGUUCCGUGUCGGAGCUAACGCGUUAAGCGUCCCGCCUGGGGAGUACGGCCGCAAGGCUAAAAC
rnacentral:rRNA from 1 species